GGCUACCGACGCCGACGCCGCGAUCACUUGUUGCGCGUAUUAUGCCACGCCGCCGAUGGAGAAAUCUCCGUAAUAUCACGUAAUUACUAUACGAUGACACGGCUAAUACGAAUACGUCUUACUAUAACCGACGAACAGUUUCCCGAGAGAAAAACACCGCCUGACGAUUAUCGAAAGUUUUGAGUACGUCGAUACGCGACGUUACGAACAAAACAAGCGCCGUCGGACAGUAAUAAAUUCCGUGCCUUUUGAGGUAAACGGAUCACGGAGCUGACGAAAUGAGUGACCUAAAAUGAAAAGGACGUCCUGGGAUAAUGGAGACGAGUGCAGCCGCCGUUAUAGAUAAUUUAAUGUAUGCGCGUAAGCGACGAUAAACCAUUGCUUAUGGAGCGGAGUUCAGUGUCGAUAAUGAUGCUUCUUCAACAAUAUAUAUAUAUAUAUA